rnacentral:rRNA from 1 species
AACGAACGCUGGCGGCAUGCCUAACACAUGCAAGUCGAACGAGACCUUCGGGUCUAGUGGCGCACGGGUGCGUAACGCGUGGGAACCUGCCCUUAGGUUCGGAAUAACUCCCCGAAAGGGGUGCUAAUACCGGAUAAUGUCUUCGGACCAAAGAUUUAUCGCCUUUGGAUGGGCCCGCGUUGGAUUAGCUAGUUGGUAGGGUAAAAGCCUACCGAGGCGACGAUCCAUAGCUGGUCUGAGAGGAUGAUCAGCCACACUGGGACUGAGACACGGCCCAGACUCCUACGGGAGGCAGCAGUGGGGAAUAUUGGACAAUGGGCGAAAGCCUGAUCCAGCAAUGCCGCGUGGGUGAUGAAGGCCUUAGGGUUGUAAAGCUCUUUUACCCGGGAUGAUAAUGACAGUACCGGGAGAAUAAGCUCCGGCUAACUCCGUG